rnacentral:rRNA from 1 species
AGUGGGGAAUAUUGGACAAUGGGGGCAACCCUGAUCCAGCGACGCCGCGUGUGUGAAGAAGGCCUGCGGGUUGUAAAGCACUUUUAGUGGGGAUGAAAAGCUCAGUUCUAAUACAGCUGGGUCUUGACCUAACCCAAAGAAAAAGCACCGGCUAACUCUGUGCCAGCAGCCGCGGUAAUACAGAGGGUGCAAGCGUUAAUCGGAAUUACUGGGCGUAAAGCGUGCGUAGUCGGUUGUCUAAGUCGGAUGUGAAAUCCCCGGGCUCAACCUGGGAAUUGCAUUCGAUACUGGGCAGCUAGAGUUCGGCAGAGGGAAGUGGAAUUUCAGGUGUAGCGGUGAAAUGCGUAGAUAUCUGAAGGAACAUCAGUGGCGAAAGCGACUUCCUGGACCAGAACUGACGAUCAGGCACGAAAGCGUGGGGAGCAAA